UGGGGAAUUUUGGACAAUGGGCGAAAGCCUGAUCCAGCAAUGCCGCGUGUGUGAAGAAGGCCUUCGGGUUGUAAAGCACUUUUGUCCGGAAAGAAAUCCUUGGCUCUAAUACAGUCGGGGGAUGACGGUACCGGAAGAAUAAGCACCGGCUAACUACGUGCCAGCAGCCGCGGUAAUACGUAGGGUGCAAGCGUUAAUCGGAAUUACUGGGCGUAAAGCGUGCGCAGGCGGUUUGCUAAGACCGAUGUGAAAUCCCCGGGCUCAACCUGGGAACUGCAUUGGUGACUGGCAGGCUAGAGUAUGGCAGAGGGGGGUAGAAUUCCACGUGUAGCAGUGAAAAUGCGUAGAGAUGUGGAGGAAUACCGAUGGCGAAGGCAGCCCCCUGGGCCAAUACUGACGCUCAUGCACGAAAAGCGUGGGGAGCAAACAGGAUUAGAUACCCUGGUAGUCCACGCCCUAAAACGAUGUCAACUAGUUGUUGGGGGAUUCAUUUCCUUAGUAACGUAGCUAACGCGUGAAGUUGACCGCCUGGGGAGUACGGUCGCAAGAUUAAAACUCAAAUGAAUUGACGGGGUCAUAGCUGUUUCCU
rnacentral:rRNA from 1 species